rnacentral:rRNA from 1 species
UACGUAGGGUGCAAGCGUUGUCCGGAAUUAUUGGGCGUAAAGGGCUCGUAGGCGGUCCAUCGCGUCGGGAGUGAAAAGCUGGGGCUUAACCCCAGUCCUGCUUCCGAUACGGGUGGACUAGAGGUAGGUAGGGGAGAACGGAAUUCCUGGUGUAGCGGUGAAAUGCGCAGAUAUCAGGAAGAACACCCGUGGCGAAGGCGGCUCUCUGGUACGGUACUGACGCUGAGACGCGAAAGCGUGGGGAGCGAACAGG